rnacentral:lncRNA from 1 species
GUCUCAUUUGUGUGCACGGUGUGCCAUGUCACAUUGCAUCGUUUCACGUGCAUUUUUCAUGUAUCUCAUUUCUUGCUUCUUUACGUGUGCCAGAUGGCCCGUAAGCGAUCACGUCCCUCUUCCCAGCCAGCUAGUGGUUCUACGUCGUACAGUCGAUCACGAUUCAUUUCUGCCACUGCUCAGGAGGUUUUCACUUCCCAGUUCUCCUUACGCCCUGUUCUCAUGGAGCGUGAGGUAAUUUUGUCUGACCUUCCCGUAGAGAUAGCUGCCAUCUUAGUGUCUCGGGGUUGGGAGCCUUUGCUUGUUGGUCUAUCACCUCCACCCCCUCUU